rnacentral:rRNA from 1 species
AUACGUAGGGGGCGAGCGUUGUCCGGAAUGAUUGGGCGUAAAGGGCGCGUAGGCGGCCCGGUAAGUCUGGAGUGAAAGUCCUGUUUUUAAGAUGGGAAUUGCUUUGGAUACUGUCGGGCUUGAGUGCAGGAGCGGUAAGUGGAAUUCCCAGUGUAGCGGUGAAAUGCGUAGAGAUUGGGAGGAACACCAGUGGCGAAGGCGACUUACUGGACUGUAACUGACGCUGAGGCGCGAAAGUGUGGGGAGCAAACAGGAUUAUAUACCCUGGUAGUCCACACUGUAAACGAUGAAUGCUAGGUGUAGGGGGUAUCGACCCCUUCUGUGCCGCAGUCAACACAAUAAGCAUUCCGCCUGGGGAGUACGGCCGCAAGGUUGAAACUCAAAGGAAUUGACGGGG